AACGCGAAGAACCUUACCUACUCUUGACAUCCAGAGAAUUCGCUAGAGAUAGCUUAGUGCCUUCGGGAACUCUGAGACAGGUGCUGCAUGGCUGUCGUCAGCUCGUGUUGUGAAAUGUUGGGUUAAGUCCCGCAACGAGCGCAACCCUUAUCCUUUGUUGCCAGCGAGUAAUGUCGGGAACUCAAAGGAGACUGCCGGUGAUAAACCGGAGGAAGGUGGGGAUGACGUCAAGUCAUCAUGGCCCUUACGAGUAGGGCUACACACGUGCUACAAUGGCAUAUACAAAGAGAAGCGAACUCGCGAGAGCAAGCGGACCUCAUAAAGUAUGUCGUAGUCCGGAUUGGAGUCUGCAACUCGACUCCAUGAAGUCGGAAUCGCUAGUAAUCGUACAUCAGAAUGCUACGGUGAAUACGUUCCCGGGUCUUGUACACACGC
rnacentral:rRNA from 1 species